rnacentral:rRNA from 1 species
GGUGCGAGCGUUGUCCGGAAUUAUUGGGCGUAAAGGGCUCGUAGGCGGUUUGUCGCGUCGGGAGUGAAAACCUCGGGCUUAACUCGGGGCUUGCUUUCGAUACGGGCAGACUAGAGGUAUGCAGGGGAGAACGGAAUUCCUGGUGUAGCGGUGAAAUGCGUAGAUACCAGGAGGAACACCGGUGGCGAAGGCGGUUUCCUGGCCCAGUACUGACGCUGAGGCACGAAAGCGUGGGGAGCGAACGGG